rnacentral:lncRNA from 1 species
UAUUGUAAAAUUAGGCUAGGUUUUCGAUGUUAGGAUAAAGAGAUUUGUGAUUACAAUGAUAGUGGUCCCUUUUUACGCCUUGUUUGGUUGAGGAACAAGGGUGAGAACUGAGGAUAAGGGGUUAUCCUCCCUUGUUCCCCAAACACNAGCAAAACGUAGAAGCAGCACAGAGCCGUGGCCUUGAACCAGCAACCCCCCCCCGCCGCCGCCGCCGCCGCAGAGCCCGAAUUGGCGGUGGAUUGGGCACGGAUUGAGGCGUUCGGGGGCUCUUUGGAGCCCGCUCGGAACACCCUCCGCCCCAAAGCGAGCAAGAGGAAGAAGAGGAUGAGCGCCGAUUGCGCGAGAACGGAGGCCUUCUCGAGCAAGGGCAGGGAAUCGAAGGAGGAGGAGGAGGAGGAGGAGAGGGGAGACGAAGACGAAGCCAUCUCCCGGAAUGGGAAUUGGGGCGGCGCAGAGCUUGGAUCUUCUUCGGGCGAGAUUCGGAAGAGGAGGACGAGGCGCGGCGGUGGGGAUAGUGUAUAUUGGCUUUGAGCAUUUCACUACGCGGGUAGUGAAACUCGACUCUUUAUUGCAGAGCCCCGAGGAGGAGAGAGAGAGAGAGAGAGGUGGCGACACUUUGCGAAGGUGAAGGGUGGGAGGAGUGGAGGGGAUUAGAGAGAGAGAGGCCACAUUGCGGAAACCAACAGAGGGUUUAAAUUGUGUGGAGAUGAAAACAGAUUUAUUAUUAAAGUGUAGUGGAAAGAGACAAGGAAAAGUUUCUGAAAUUUCUGCUAAUCUCACCGACCUCAAAAGCAAUCUCAAUCUCAAUCUUAAUCUUAAUCUCUCUUUCUCACUGUGUGUUGGUUUUUUUUUUUUUUUUUUUUUUUUUUUUUUUUUUUUUUUUUUUGGGUGCAAGCAUGCAUGUCCACGCAAUAUAUAUAUAUAUAUAUAUAUAUAUAUAUAGAGAGAGAGAGAGAGGGAGAGAGAGAGAGAGAGAGAGAGAGAGAGAGAGAGGUGUGUAGAGGAGGAGGAGGAGGAGGAGGAGAGAGAGUUGUAAUUGUUGUUUUCUUCUUCCUCUUCCUGAGCUCCACGCUCUCCAGAGUUUGGUCCCCAACGUAGCUGGGUGUCAAAUAGGCGAUCUACUUUGUUAGGGAAAUAGUCGCACGUCACGCGUCUCCUAAUUGAAAAUAAAUAUAAAUAAAUAACUAAAAGGGGAAAUUAAAAAGGUUGGGAUCGAAAGCAGGAGAAAAUGUGAUUUGAUUCCUUAAUUGGCGACUUAUUAUGUAUAUAAUAUGAUAAUAAUAAUAAUAAUAACAAGUAAUGCUUAAUUUGCAACAAAAUAAUAUCUUUAAUUCUAUAUUUUUAAGUAUUUAAGUGAAUAUUGUAAAAUUAGGCUAGGUUAUCGAUGUUAGGAUGAAGAGAUUUGUGAUUAUGAUGAUAGUGGUCUUUUUUACGCCUUGUUUGGUUAAGGAGGGAACUGAGGAUAAGGGGUUAUCCUCCCUGGUUCCUCAAAUACUAUAUCUAAGGGUGGGAAUAAGUUGUUUCCACCCCUUUUGUUAAAAAAAUUUUAAAAUUUUAAAAUUUUUAUUUUUAUUUUAAUUUUAAAAAAUUUUAAUUUGUAAUUUUACAAUUAAAGUUUAUAAUUUUAANCAAAAUUAAAGUUUAUAAUUUUAAAUUUUAAUUUGAUAUUUUAAAUUUUAAAAAUUUAAAAGUUGAGAGUUUAAUUUCAUAUUUUGAAAUUUAAAAGUUAAAAUUUAAAAUUUAAAAAUAAAAAUAAAAAUUUCAAAUUCAAAUAUAACGAGAGAGAUAAUAUCAUUUUUCUAUUUAUAACUACUCAUUAUCCUUCUUAUUUCAUAUUAUCUAACCAAACGAUAUUCUUUUUAUCCCCAAGAAUAAUCUAAUUUUUAUCCAAAUACAAAAUUAAUCUAAUCCCCGCUUAUAUCUCAAUUUAUACCUAUCUCUUGAAUAGUUAGUUUUUGCUUAUCCCCGAAACAAACGAUGCCUUAAAGUUGAAUAGAUCGUUGGUUGAAUAGUAUGAUUGAUCUAAAGGGUAAAAACGAUCAAAGAAGUAGUAGUAGAUCUAACGGCAGAAAACUCACCAGUCUGACUCCAACAUUGUAUAAAUAAAUAAUUUAUUUAGGU